CCUUCGAUAGCUCAGUUGGUAGAGCGGUGGACUGUAGACGGUUCAGUUGGCCUUACAAAGUCAAGCAGUUAUCCAUAGGUCACUGGUUCAAAUCCGGUUCGAAGGA
rnacentral:tRNA from 2 species